AUGAUCACUAGAAAAACCAUAGCUUUGACUAGACGGAUCUUUGUUGGCAAAGUAAUGUCUCUGCUUUUGAAUAUGCUCUCUAGGUUGGUCAUAACUUUUCUUCCAAGGAGCAAGUGAACUAACACAUGUUUGUAAAUGGUUAAAUGUUAUUAACUUUUGCAGAAAAGUAAUCUAAUGGAUAGGAAACCUGUUUUUAAAAGGAGUGAGAAGAAAAGAGAAAACUUAAAAUAUAGCACAAAGUUCUGGGAUUUGGCAGAGAAGGGCCUUGGAAGGAACUUCUCAGGGCCUCUUCAGCCAUUGCCAGCUUCUCCCUGUUGAUUUUCCACCUGCCCUUCAGGUAAUCAGCAUGGAGAGGCAGCCCGGAAAGUUUCCGGGAGCUCUGACCCUGACUGCUGCCCUUGGGCUGUGGGUCUGGGUUCUGCUGGGGGCACCUGUUAUGCACCAGGUGCUGAGUGCCUUGCCCUGGAAGACCGUGGCCCCGGGAGCAGCAGCCUGCAGCAGGGAGCUCCUCCCUCCUGGAGGAGGAAGGUAGGGCUCCUGGGAGAGGCUGGGGUCAGGGUCACCAGAACCAGACAUCCGAGACCCUGAGCAGAGGCUGCCAGCUAUCUACAACCUCUGGUUCUGACUGGUGCUGAGAACCAGGGAUGGGGCUGUCUGUGGGUGGGCGGGGGAAAGAGGCUGAGGGCUCCCAGGAGUGAGUCGGGUGCAGGCGGAAAAGUGUCCCAGGCUGGGAGCCCAGAGACCCCAGAGCAGAAGGGCAGUCAGGGGAGAGGCCCAGAUCAGGCCAUCCUAGGCCAGUCUCUUCUUCUUGGUGUCUGCCCACCCCCUUGCCUCCCUUGGGUGCCGUGUGCUCGGUCAUGUCUCUUUGUGACCCCAUGGAUGGUAGCCCGCCAGGCUCCUCUGUCCACGGGAUUUCCCAGAACCCGUCCUCCACCCCCUAUCAGUUCCAAGCAAACCUGGACAGAUGCUCACACUACACGUAAUUCUCUCAACAACUUGAAGAGACCGCAGAGCCACUAACCCCAUUUUACAGAUGAAGAAACCAAAGCUCAGAGGGGUUGAGGAUUUUCCAGGGCAAAACAGCUGCUAAGUGCCAGAAGCUGGACUUGGACUCAAGCCUAUCUGCUUCCAAAGAUCCACAGGGCGUGGAAUCCUCCCUAAUGCCAAAGAGCAGGGAGGGCAGGUCCUCACACUCAAGUUCGUGGAGUGCUCCCCUCCGCCCUCCCCUGCCCUGCCCCAUCUUUUCUUUGAACCCUGGCUGAGGCCUGGGGUCCCCGCCCACCAGCUGCCCAUAGAGUUUCCACCUUUCUCUGUACAGACCGUCUCUCCCGGGCCCUACGACUGGGCCAGACUCAGCGGGGGUGGACAGUGCAGAGCCAGGACCUGACUGGACCUUGGGGACAACGCGCUCAGGGAAGGGGCAAUGCCCUGGCCUCGGAGCCUGGGUGAUCUCAGCCUGGACCUGCCACCAAAGUGCCACAGCGGAGGCCCAGCCUCCCUUGUGGGGAGGAAAGGUUGGCUUGAAGGCCGGCAGGCAGAAGCCCCUUCCAGCACUGCCUGCCAGCUGGAUGUAGCUCAUCCAAGCGGCUGAGAGUCCGUGUGCCUGGCUUUGCCGCCUCAGCUGACUCUGUCACCUUGGGCAAGUUACCUAACUUCUGCUAGAAGGUGCUCCCUAAAGGGGGAUAACAAUGAUGCCCCC